rnacentral:misc_RNA from 1 species
UAAAGUAUACAGCCUGGCAUUAAAGUG